AAGCAAUCACACGACAAGUUAAGACGGGAGACGAAAGUUCGAUAUUUAUUUCUAUUGCUAAAGGAUGUUAAUUAAAAGUUCGGAUAUAUUCAACGAAAAAAUGGAGGAAGUAGUGGAACAAAAGCGGAGAAGAAAAACACGUCGUGGAAAGAAGACACGGCCGGUGUCAGUGAUGGAAAAUACUGGUUGUUCCAAUGAAGCUUGAAGCUUGAGCUGUGCCUGCCUCAAACGUGAGCAAACGGGAAUAUCCCUAUGUUCAGUUGUGUAUACUAAUAUAUACAUCGUUAUAAAAAAAGCCAGAGUUCCCCUGGGAGGUGACGUGGUCCACCAGCCUUGAGACUAGGGGGAGUUGCCUCCAUGUCGAUGAAGGGGCUGCACUUAUGUUGAAAAUGAGUAUAAUCAUGUACACACACAUUAUGAUUAUUAACCAUGG